AAGCUGCAUGCUUUUUUCUUCAUAUCUUGUAUAAUCCUCCACAUCCCUACAGAUGAGGAAACUGGGGCUCCAAGAGACCAACUAGCUUAGCACGUCCUGCCCCAGUAUUUGCACCUUGUGGCUAGUGAAUACUUCCAUGGCAAGCACUCCCUGACUGAAAUCUGAGACAGCCUUCUGGACUUGCUUGGAGAUGUGUUCUUUGUGGUCCAUGGGCUGAUCACAGCUCGAUAUCAUAGAGAGAGGGCGUUCCCAGGUGUGCCUGGAUGGAACUGUACCAUGAUGACCUGCGCCAUUCACCCGCCUUUCAGAGUCUGGGAAUGUUGAUCAGUUGUUGUUUCUGUUCCUGCCCCGUCCUCAGGACCAGAGAGAAAAUUCCUAUCUCUCUAUAAUUUUCUGGGGGCCAUCCCCCAGGAGUUUGUCUUUCUAGAAAUGUCUUCCCCAGCAUCUUAGCCAUACAUAGUAAUGGAACAAACAUUUUAGCUAUAGGAAGUAAUGGAACUCCUAAAAUAAUAGACUUUAAACCAACUAUUUUACAUGCAGCCAAAUACUCCACCCAGUAAUAUUAGAUUCCACAUUCUUCUCAAGUGCACAUGCAACAUCCUCCAGAACAAACCAUAUGUUAGGCCACUAAACAAAUCUCAAUAAAUGUAAAAGGAUGGAAAUCAUGCAGAGUAUCUUCUUCAACCACAAGGGAAUGAAAUUAGAAAUCAAUAACAAAAGGAAAUCUAGAAAAUUCACAAAUAUUUAUAAAUAAAAUGGUAUACUCUUUUUUAAAUUUUAAAAAUUGUGGUUAAAUAUGCUUCAUAAAAAAUUUACCAUCUUAACCAUUUUAAGUGUAUAAUUCAAUGGCAUUAAAUACACUCACGUUGUUGUAAAAACACCACCACUAUACAUCUUCAGAAUGUUUUUAUCAUCCCAAACGGAAACUUAGUACCUAUUAAAAAUAACUCCCACCCCUCUUUCCCCCAGACCCCAAUAACCACCAUUCUACUUUCUGUCUCUAUGACUGAGUUUUUAGUUACUUUAAUGACUUUGGUUACUCAAUGUAAAUGAAAUCAUACAAAUAUUUGUCCUUUUGUCUGGCUUAUUUCACAUAGCAUAAGUUCUCAGGGUUCCUAUAUGCUGUACUAUACAUUAGAAUUUCCUUCCUUUUUAAGGCCGAACAAUGUUCUGUUGUAUGUAUAUAUCACAUUUUGUUUAUCCAUUUAUUCAUUAAUGGACAUUUGUGUUGUUUCCACCCUUUGGCUAUUGUGCAACAAAUAAAUGGGCUAUUGACUACAAUUGGCUAUUGUCUAUAAUGCUGCAAUGAACAUAGUUGUAGAAAUAUCUGUUCAAGUCCCUGUUUUCAGUUAUUUGGGGUAUAUGCCAGAGGUAGAAUUGCUCAUAUGUAAUUCUAUGUUUAAUUUUUUGAAGCAUUGUCAUAUUCUCCACUGUGUCUACAUCAUUUUACAUUCCUACCAGCAAUGCACAAGGGUUGCAAUUUCUCCACAUCUUUACCAACAUCUGUUAUUUUCUGUUGUUGCUGUUUUUUAAAUAAUGACUAUUCUAAUGGAUUUGAAGUAGUAUCACAUUAUGGUGUUUUUGUUGUUGUUGUUGUU